UGCUCCAUCGGUCCAGUAGAGCAUGAGACUCUUAAUUCCAGGGUCAUGGGUUCGAGCCCCACAUUGGGCAAAA